rnacentral:lncRNA from 1 species
AAAAGAGGGAAGCAUGGAAAAAAGCCAAUGAGGAAUUACGACGCCACCACUGGAGGAAGUGGGUUAGAGUCAAGAUGGCUCACAGGGAGAAGUCCUUGCUUAGCAGGCCUAGAAACCUAGCACCUGUAAUUGUGCCUCCCUCUUUCUAGGAAGACAACAAACUGUCUUUCAGCUUUGUCUACCAGGUACUGGAACCUCUCUGUGGCCAGAUUCCUGGGGCCGGGUGAAUUGUCAAUAGGCAACUGCAGUCACUCAGAAUCUUUCUAGAAUGAGUAACUCAAAGACAGGGGUUUGUUUGAUCCAUUUUGAACUACCGCAGCAUGUAGCUCAGUCUUUGGCUCUCAUCGGGAGACUUCCAAGUAAACUGAAAAAAGGCAGGAGCUGCUGGGUCAACUGGCAGAUUCAUCCAGGUCACAGAAAGAUGGGGAAUUGUAAGAGAAGAAAUGAACACUGAGGCCAUUUCUCUUAAGUGGGGAGGGCUUGGAGUAGAAAGCAUGAAAAAUGCCCCUCCUGUGCUGGGCUCACUUCUCAGGGCCUAGGACAAAGGCAGGACAUGGUGUUCCUGCUUUCACAGUGAUUGAAAAAAACUGGUGGCAGCACACAGCUUGCUGCCGGGCAGACAGCUUGAGUGUCUUCACUACUACUCUUGGUGGUUCAAGGGCAGGUUUGCCUCAGCCCUUAGAACACAGUUCCCUGGAUUCCUUGGCCCUCCCACAUCUCGAGAGCAGCAGUAACUACUUCACUGUGGGCUGUGAGGAGUCUCUUAGUUGGACAAUGUUAGUAUAUGCAAUUGAUUCAGAGCCUAACUUCAUUUCUUCCUAACUUCUAACUGGUUUCUUCCAAGUUCCUACACUUGGCCUGGCUUCCUUUUCCCUGAGUUGGUCAUCAAGUACCCAAAUGGAAUCCAUAUUCUAUAAAUUCUUCCUCUCCGAUCUCUGGAGGCAGUAGAGUAGUGCUUAAGGGUACAUGCUCUGGGGUCACACUGCCAGGGUUCACAGCCCAACUCUUGUUUGCCAGCUAUGCACCCUUGUGCAGUUUACUUACCUUUCUGUGCCAGUUUUUCAUCUCUAUAAUGAGAAUGACAAUAGUACUUAACUCAUAGAUCUGUUGUGAGGAUUAAAUGAGAUUGUAAUGAGCCUGGCACCUAGUUAGGGUUCAGUAAUAUUAGCUAUUAUUUGGAAUGAAAAGUCUUUCUUUCCCUCUUGCACACCCCUGCUUCUCUAGUUUCAGAUACUUGUUCCUCCUCUCCCCAACGAACUUCUCCCAUCCUUCUCCAGACGUUGCAAGCCUUUCAGUGCUAAAUGUUCUUAAAAGAAGAGAUUUCCGGCUGGGCACGUUGGCUCACGUCUUUAAUCCCAGCAUUUUGGGAGGCAGAGGCGGGUGGAUCAUGCGGUCAGGAGAUGGAGACCAUCCUGGCUAACAUGGUGAAACCCCGUCUUUACUAAAAAUCCAAAAAAAUUAGCCGAGUGUGGUGGCGGGCGCCUGUAGUCCCAGCUUCUCGUGAGGCUGAGGCAGGAGAAUGGCGUGAACCCGGGAGGCGGAGCUUGCAGUGAGCCGAUUGCGCCACUGCACUCCAGCCUGGGCGACAGAUGUCUCAAAAAAAAAAAAAAAAAAAGAAUGGGUUUCCUUUUGAUCUUUUCCAUCUCUUGUAUGUCCCAUACCCAGGUAAUCAUUUUUUAAUUAUUUUUGUAUUUUCUGAUACAUAUUUUACAUAUUUAUGGGUCAUGUGGGAUACUGUGUCAUAUGCAUAAAAUGUGUAAUGAUCAAGCCAGGAUAUUUGAGGUGUCCAUCACAUUGAAUAUUUAUCAUUUCUAUGUGUUGGGAACAAUUCAAAUCCUCUCUUCUAGCUACUUUGAAAUAUGAAAUUCAUUGUUGUUAACAACAGUCACUCUACUCUGCUGUCAAAUGAUAGAACUUACACCUUUUAUCUAACUAUAUGUUUGUACCUGUUAACUUACCUCUCUUUAUCCUCCCUUCUCACCCAUACACCCUUCCCACCCUGUAGUAUUCAUCAUUUCUCCCAGGUAAUCACUGAUUAUCAGAAUUGGAAAGGUCUUUUAUAAAUAAUCUAGUUUAAUUUGCUCUUUUUACAGAUUGUCAAAAGUUGGAUCCAGAAAGAUAAAGCAACUUAGUAAAGAUCACAUUGAACUAGAAUCACAACUUAGUCCUAUAGAUAUUAGCAAUGUCAGACAUCAAAGCCUGAACAUUUAAUUCUAAUAAAUUCAACAUAUAUCCAGUAAGGAUCUACUAUUAGUGUGUGUGUGUGUUUGUAUGUGGUAGUAGGCCAUACGCUGAGAGAGAUACAAAGAUGAUUUCAAAUCACUUGUCCACUAGAAAAGCUGGCUCUAGGAGGAGGUUAUGAGGCAUUGUAUGUCUUGGGGGGUAGCUCUCCAUUCCUCUUAUACAUAG